rnacentral:lncRNA from 1 species
CAUGAACAAACAAUCCCUUAGGAUUUCUAAUGCAAAAGAACAAAUAUAAAAAUAGAAGGCUGCCUUUCAUGUAGUCAGUACCAAGUUCUCCAACCAGAUUCUACACAGCAACUGGAGGACAGGGCCUCAGAUCAAGGAAGAAGUGGGAUUGGUUUGGAGGGAUCCUAUCUGGACUCAAGGAAAGUGACAAUACAAAUUAUGGGAUGGAUCUACAUCCUCGAGGUAUCCUUAUAAGAAGAAGCGUGAAACUUGGACACACUGAUAUACCCAAGGAUAAAGUUCACGUGAAGAUGGAGGCAGAGGCUGGAAUAUGUGGCUUCAAAGAACACUCCCGGCCAGCAAUCACCAGAAGCUGAGAAGAGCAAAGAAAGAUUCAUCCCUAGAACCUGGUGUUAUUUAUCUGCUCAUAAAUGCUGAUAGUCAAGAACAAAAUGAACGAGUCACAAGAUAUUGAAAACAAAAAUCCUUAGGAGCAGCUGAUCCUGGUGGGCCAGGAAGCUCAGAAUCAAAAUGGAUGCUCAGUUGGAACAUCCGCACUAGCCUGCCACAUUAGCACGUUUGCUACCACCUCUUUCUGCAGAUCCCAUUUGCAAUUUCUGGGUUUACACCAUCAGACUGAUUUUCUAUGUAAUCUUCGUUAUAAGCCUCUUCAGAUGUUUUUAAAAUGAAAUGAG